rnacentral:tRNA from 1 species
CGUAACUUUAUUUUCUGUACUUCCGUACAUAAAAGGACUUUAACACCCUACAA